AUGAGGUUCGCGGGGUGGUACCUGAAGAUCGCCGUCGGCGGCGCGGCCAUAGGCGCCGCCAUGGAGCUUUUCAUGAUCCACACCGGCUUCUAUGAGAAGGUGACGGUACUGGAGUCAGAAAAACGAGCUUGGGAAAGCAGUCCAGAAGCACAAGCUAUGAGAGAAGCCUUGAAUCCAUGGCACAAGCGUGAUGAGAAGGAGAAAAAAUAG
rnacentral:rRNA from 1 species